ACACCAAUAUUAAUACAGAAAUAGCAAUAGAUAAAAACAUCACUAGAAUGACAUGACAAAGUACGUAUCUUAAGAUUUUUGGAACUUCCACCAUCACAUCUGGAAAUGUCUCAGGCAUGCCUGGCACUGCUUCCUGCUCCAUUCCCUCCCUGGUCUGGCAAAUGCGAGCAAUCUAGUCCUUUAUUUAUCGAAGUUCAUGAAUUUUUCUCCAUCUGCUUCAGCCAACAUAGUUACAAACUUUAUGGGAACUUCUUUCUUCCUUGCUCUACUUGGCG
rnacentral:misc_RNA from 1 species